GCCAUUGAUCUGAUCCAUCCAUAUAAUAUGAUUAUUGUAGCUGUUCAGUUAUUGUUCAUACUAUUAAGGGACCGGUCAUAAAGUAAUUACUAGAGGGGGGUGGAGGAUAAAUGAAAUUUCAAGUACAUAUUUCCAUGCCCUCCCAAAAACCUAUGGAAAAAUUUUCGUAACCCCCUUCAUUGUAAGUGAAAAUUUUCAUAACACUUCUAUCAUUAAUUCUGUUUUAACAUUUGUCUUGCGUUUAUCUAUAUUUUGAAACUCUCCAGUAUGUGAUAACUCUCCCACUUCUUGUAGUGAUAACCCUCCCACUUCUUGUAGUGGUACUCAUAUCCUCAACAUUUUCCGCAGUCUCCGAUUCGUCACCAGUCUUUUCUGAUUCUGACAUACUAGCGAUGGGCUGAGAGUAAGAUCAAACAGAAAAAAUUGUUUUUGGUUUAUUUCAAAUAGAAAAAUUUGCUUCCAUUCAUGAGACACUUCCUCAUCAGGUUCAUCAAGUUCUAACAGCUGUGAGCUUGCUAGCAUUGACAAUUCAGGUGUAUCAGAUCUGUACUCCAAACGU